rnacentral:lncRNA from 1 species
CCUCCCAGACGGAGGCCGCCAGCCCCAGGCGCGGCCCGUGGUGCUGGGCGAUGCGGAGGACGCGCCCGCACAGCCGGUACCGCCGCUCCACCGGGAAGGCGUCGGCGAAGAGCUCGGGGUCGCGGGGGAACACGGACCGCAGCGCCUCGGGCCCGGGCUCCUCUUCCUCUUCCGCUUCCUCUUCCGCUUCCUCUUCGGUUUCCGACUCCGCUUCCCCCCCCUCGACCCCCGCCGCCGCCGCCUCCCGCCGGAGCCGGAGCCCCACGUGGCACCCGGACGCAGCCAUCUUGGCGGAGGGGACGGGGCCGCUCCCGCCGCUCGCGAUUGGUCAGCCCACGGAGGGGGCGGGGUCUGGAGCUCCGCCCACGCCCCCCCCGACUCGGACCCGGGUUCGUGUCCCCGGACUGGUCCCCAGUGUCACCUGCCACCUCUCUGAUGUCCCCAGCCACCUCCCAGUGUCCUCCGUGUCCCCUGCCCCGUCCCGGUGUCCCCAUCGCCAUCUCUGGUGUCCCCUACUCCAUCUCUGCUGUCCCCUGUCCUGUCCCCGUGUCCCCUGUACCAUCUCCAGUGUCCCCCCCUCCGUCUCUGGUGUCCCCUAUCCUGUCCCCAUGUCCCCUGUACCAUCUCCAGUGUCCCCCACUCCGUCUCUGAUGUCCCCUAUCCUGUUCCUGUGUCCCCAUCACCAUCUCCAGUGUCCCCUGCUCCAUCUCUGGUGUCCCCUGUCCAGUCCCCGUGUCCCCCCGUGUACCAUCUCCAGUGUCCUCUGCUCCGUCUCUGGUGUCCCCUAGCCUCGUCCCAGGGUCCCCAUCAUCAUCUCCAGUGUCCCCAUCACCAUCUCUGGUGUCCCCUGUCCUGUCCCCAUGUCCCCUGCUCCACCUCCAGUGUCCCCCGCUCCAUCUCUGGUGUCCCUAUCACCAUCUCCAGUGUCCCCUACUCCAUCUCUGAUGUCCCCUGCCCCGUCCUGGUGUCCCCAUCGCCAUCUCCAGUGUCCCCUGCUUCAUCUCUCGUGUCCCCUGCCCUGUCCUGGUGUCACCAUCUCCAGUAUCUCCUGUUCCAUCUCUGGUGUCCCCUGCCCUGUACAGUGUCCCCAUAACCAUCUCUGGUGUCCUUUGUCCCAUCCCAGUGUCCCCAUCACCAUUUCCAGUGUCCCCUGCUCCAUCUCUGGUGUCCCCUGUCCUGUCCCCAUGUACCCUGCUCCAUCUCCAGUCUCCCCUGCUCCAUCUCUAUUGUCCCCUGCCCCAUCCCCUGUACCAUCUCCAGUGUCCCCUGUUCCACCUCUGGUGUCCCCUGUCCUGUCCCCAUGUCCCCUGCCCCAGGUGUCAGGUGUCCCCAGGCCCAUCCCCAGUGUCUCCUACCUGACCCAGUGUCCCCCUGGGGUGGCACCUGGCCAGUGUGAGGUUCUAGGGUACUGGGAGGCACUGGGAGCACCAGAGUAACACAAGGACCCUGGGGCCCUGGGAGGUACUGGGAGACACUGGGGGGACUGGGAGGCACUGAGGGGACUGGGGCAGCAGUGGGGACACUG